rnacentral:misc_RNA from 1 species
AGAAUCGGGGUGCGGAAACGCGCCUUCCUUCAACCACUGUGAACAACCCGUUGCUUCGGCAGCUCCCUCCAGGGGGGUCAGUCUGUCGGCGGCACCCAACAAACCAUUCUGUAAACGCAGUCUGACCACCAAAAGAAAAUCGUUA